ensembl:ncRNA F56A11.11 ncRNA
AUGCCCCCCCCCCCCCCGUCUUAUUUCCCUGUAAGUCCCGCCUUCUCCGCCACCACCUUCAUUUUCUCUGCGCGCUCUCCGGAGACGCGUGUCUCCUACUGCAUAGUAGUGGUCAGUUCACCCCCUUUUCAUCAAAUGUGUGUGCACACAAACAUUUAGACUUUAGACCUAUUUUCAUCUUACCUGUUCAU